rnacentral:rRNA from 1 species
CCUACGGAUGGCAGCAGUGAGGAAUAUUGGUCAAUGGACGCAAGCCUGAACCAGCCAAGUAGCGUGCAGGAUGACGGCCCUACGGGUUGUAAACUUCUUUUAUAAAGGGGUAAAGUGAGACACGUGUGCCUUUUUGAAUGUACUUUAUGAAUAAGGAUCGGCUAACUCCGUGCCAGCAGCCGCGGUAAUACGGAGGAUUCGAGCGUUAUCCGGAUUUAUUGGGUUUAAAGGGUGCGUAGGUGGUUUGUUAAGUUAGUGGUGAAAGUUUGAGGCUCAACCGUGGAAUUGCCAUUGAUACUGGCAGCCUUGAGUAUAGUUGAGGUAGGCGGAAUGCGUGGUGUAGCGGUGAAAUGCUUAGAGAUCACGAAGAACUCCGAUUGCGAAGGCAGCUUACUAAGCUGCCACUGACAUUGAUGCUCGAAAGUGUGGGUAUCAAACAGGAUUAGAUACCCGAGUAGUC